GGCGCCGUGGCUUAGUUGGUUAAAGCGCCUGUCUAGUAAACAGGAGAUCGAGGGUUCGAAUUCCCUCCGGGGCCU
rnacentral:tRNA from 1 species